GGGGCAGUGGCGGAAUGGCAGACGCCGUGGACUUAAAAUCCACUGGGGAGACCCGUGUGAGUUCGAAUCUCACCUGCCCUA
rnacentral:tRNA from 1 species